rnacentral:rRNA from 1 species
GAUGAACGCUGGCGGCGUGCCUAAUACAUGCAAGUCGAGCGAACAGACGAGGAGCUUGCUCCUCUGACGUUAGCGGCGGACGGGUGAGUAACACGUGGAUAACCUCCCUAUAAGACUGGGAUAACUUCGGGAAACCGGCGCUAAUCCCGGAUAAUAUAUUGAACCGCAUGGUUCAAUAGUGAAAGACGGUUUUGCUGUCACUUAUAGAUGGAUCCGCGCCGCAUUAGCUAGUUGGUAAGGUAACGGCUUACCAAGGCAACGAUGCGUAGCCGACCUGAGAGGGUGAGCGGCCACGCUGGAACGGAGGCACGGUCCAGACUCCUACGGGAGGCAGCAGUAGGGAAUCUUCCGCAAUGGGCGAAAGCCUGACGGAGCAACGCCGCGUGAGUGAUGAAGGUCUUCGGAUCGUAGAACUCUGUUAUUAGGGAAGAACAAAUGUGUAAGUAACUAUGCACGUCUUGACGGUACCUAAUCAGAAAGCCACGGCUAACUACGUG